GGUGGAGUCGCAUAACCUGGUAUUGCGGCGGUCUCAAAAACCGUUGGGUGCGUAGCCCUUCAGGGUUCAAAUCCCUGCUCCACCG
rnacentral:tRNA from 1 species